rnacentral:tRNA from 1 species
GCCUGGGUGGCUCAGUCGGUUAAGCAUCUGACUCUCGAUUUCAGCUCAGAUCAUGGUCUCACAGUUUGUGGGAUCGAGUCCCACCUUGUGCU